AAUAAAAUAUUUUGGUUAUAUUCUAUAUAAUAAUUUGUAUAAUAAAAACAUUUAAAAAUUAAGUAUAGGUGAAAGAAAGUUAUUAAUUGAACCCAAGAAAAGUACUGAAAAGGAAUUUAUUUAAUAAAGUUAAAGAAAAAAUAAAAAUUUGUACCUUUUGCAUCAUGGUUUAGCUAGAUAUUUAUUUUUUAUUAAAUUUCUCGAAAUCUAAUGAGUUAUUUCUGUUCAGUAUUUUAGCAUAAUAGAGUAGUUGUGGCAAAAACUUUCUUAGAAACAGAAAUGGAAAUGAAAUUUUAUUCGUAUUAGAUGAUAGCUAGUUCUUCUUUAAAGGUAUAUAAGUACCUAAAAUUAAUUUCACUUUUAUGAUUUAAUCAUAAAAAAAUUUUAAUUUUAUUAGAUUUUUGAGGAUAAGCUCGAAAAUUACAAUUAUAUAUGUAUCUUAUUCUUAUAAAAAUUUAGGCUUGAGAGUAGCCAUAAUUUUGAGUUUGUUAUAAUCUCAUUAGUUUAUUAAGAAGAUAAUUAAUUUACUUAAAAUAAGUGAAGAAAACUCUAUAACUAAAUUGAGCUGAAUUAAUGCUAAAAUGAGUAUUUAUUAUUUUAUGAAAAAUAAACAAAUUAUAAGUUUAUUUUUAUUUAUUUAUUUUUGAAAAAAAUUAUAAAAAGGAACUCGGCAAAAUCAUAUUCUGCCUGUUUAGCAAAAACAUGGCUCCUUGAUAGUUAAUAAUAAGGAGUCGGACCUGCCCAGUGAAUAUUUUAACGGCCGCGGUACUCUGACCGUGCAAAGGUAGCAUAAUCAUUUGCCUUAUAAUUGAAGGCUAGUAUGAAUGGUUUGACAAGAAUAUAGCUGUCUCUUUAUGAUUUAAUAGAAUUUUAUUUUCAGCUGAAGAAGCCUGAAUUUAAUUAAAAGACAAGAAGACCCUAUCGAGCUUUAAAAAACUUAAUGAAAUUAUAAUUAAUUGUACUAAAAAUUUAUUCAUUAAACAUUUUAGUUGGGGCGACUGAGGAACAUAGAAAGCUUCCUUUAUAAGUAAAACUAUUUUCUACCUGAAUUGAUCCAAAACAUUUUGAUUAAGGAAAUUAGUUACCGUAGGGAUAACAGCAUUAUCUUUUUUAAGAGCCCAUAUCGAAAAAAAGGUUUGUGACCUCGAUGUUGGAUCAGAAUAUCCUAAAGGUGCAGCAGCCUUUAAGGGUUGGUCUGUUCGACCAUUAAAAUUCUACGUGAUCUGAGUUCAGACCGGCGUGAGCCAGGUCAGUUUCUAUCUUUAAUUACUUGAAUGAACUUAGUACGAAAGGACCAGUUUAUUAUAAAUUAAUAUUUGUAGCAGAUUAAAUAUAAUUAACAAUUAAUCAAAUUAGCAAAAUUAAUGCAAUUGAUUUAGGAUCAAUAGAUAUAGGCGAAAUUCCUUUAUUUGAUACAUAAAGGUGGCAGAUGAA
rnacentral:rRNA from 1 species